AUGUCAUGGACUCAUAUGUACCUCUCCUCGCACCGAACGAGAUUGCUUUCUUUUCCUCUUGUCCCUUUCGAUCCUCUCCCUCCCUCCCCAAGGAAGGCCGGCGGCGCCAUGGUCGAGACGGCGUGGGAGCUCGCCGAGCUAUUCGUCCUCCGCCCCGUCCUCGCCAUCUCCUUCGCCCUCUCAUUCAUCCUCCUGAGCUGGUACGUCGCGUGGAGGACGGUGCUGGUGCACGUCCCGCUCGUGCAGGAGGUCGCCGGCCUGCGCCCGAAGAAGAAGCCCGCCAAGCCCAAGCCCCCCAACCGCGGCCGCAUCGGCAGGUUCUACCAGUCGCAGGCAGAAGCGCAGAGGUGA
rnacentral:rRNA from 1 species